rnacentral:rRNA from 1 species
AACGAACGCUGGCGGCAUGCCUAACACAUGCAAGUCGAACGAGAUCUUCGGGUCUAGUGGCGCACGGGUGCGUAACGCGUGGGAAUCUGCCCUUUGGUUCGGAAUAACAGUUGGAAACGACUGCUAAUACCGGAUGAUGACGAAAGUCCAAAGAUUUAUCGCCAGAGGAUGAGCCCGCGUAGGAUUAGCUAGUUGGUGUGGUAAAGGCGCACCAAGGCGACGAUCCUUAGCUGGUCUGAGAGGAUGAUCAGCCACACUGGGACUGAGACACGGCCCAGACUCCUACGGGAGGCAGGAGUGGGGAAUAUUGGACAAUGGGCGAAAGCCUGAUCCAGCAAUGCCGCGUGAGUGAUGAAGGCCUUAGGGUUGUAAAGCUCUUUGACCCGGGAUGAUAAUGACAGUACCGGGAGAAUAAGCUCCGGCUAACUCCGUGCCAGCCGCCGCAGUAA